ACUCCUACGGGAGGCAGCAGUGGGAAUAUUGCACAAUGGGCGCAAGCCUGAUGCAGCCAUGCCGCGUGUAUGAAGAAGGCCUUCGGGUUGUAAAGUACUUUCAGCAGUGAGGAAGGCGGGGUACGUUAAAUAGCGUGCUCGUUUGACGUUAGCUGCAGAAGAAGCACCGGCUAACUCCGUGCCAGCAGCCGCGGUAAUACGGAGGGUGCGAGCGUUAAUCGGAAUUACUGGGCGUAAAGCGCAUGCAGGUGGUUUGUUAAGUCAGAUGUGAAAGCCCGGGGCUCAACCUCGGAAUAGCAUUUGAAACUGGCAGACUAGAGUACUUAGAGGGGGUAGAAUUUCAGGUGUAGCGGUGAAAUGCGUAGAGAUCU
rnacentral:rRNA from 1 species